rnacentral:rRNA from 1 species
AAGUCGUACGCUUCUUUUUCCCCGGAGCUUGCUCCACCGGAAAAAGAAGAGUGGCGAACGGGUGAGUAACACGUGGGUAACCUGCCCAUCAGAAGGGGAUAACACUUGGAAACAGGUGCUAAUACCGUAUAACAAUCGAAACCGCAUGGUUUUGAUUUGAAAGGCGCUUUCGGGUGUCGCUGAUGGAUGGACCCGCGGUGCAUUAGCUAGUUGGUGAGGUAACGGCUCACCAAGGCUACGAUGCAUAGCCGACCUGAGAGGGUGAUCGGCCACAUUGGGACUGAGACACGGCCCAAACUCCUACGGGAGGCAGCAGUAGGGAAUCUUCGGCAAUGGACGAAAGUCUGACCGAGCAACGCCGCGUGAGUGAAGAAGGUUUUCGGAUCGUAAAACUCUGUUGUUAGAGAAGAACAAGGAUGAGAGUAACUGUUCAUCCCUUGACGGUAUCUAACCAGAAAGCCACGGCUAACUACGUGCCAGCAGCCGCGGUAAUACGUAGGUGGCAAGCGUUGUCCGGAUUUAUUGGGCGUAAAGCGAGCGCAGGCGGUUUCUUAAGUCUGAUGUGAAAGCCCCCGGCUCAACCGGGGAGGGUCAUUGGAAACUGGGAGACUUGAGUGCAGAAGAGGAGAGUGGAAUUCCAUGUGUAGCGGUGAAAUGCGUAGAUAUAUGGAGGAACACCAGUGGCGAAGGCGGCUCUCUGGUCUGUAACUGACGCUGAGGCUCGAAAGCGUGGGGAGCAAACAGGAUUAGAUACCCUGGUAGUCCACGCCGUAAACGAUGAGUGCUAAGUGUUGGAGGGUUUCCGCCCUUCAGUGCUGCAGCUAACGCAUUAAGCACUCCGCCUGGGGAGUACGACCGCAAGGUUGAAACUCAAAGGAAUUGACGGGGGCCCGCACAAGCGGUGGAGCAUGUGGUUUAAUUCGAAGCAACGCGAAGAACCUUACCAGGUCUUGACAUCCUUUGACCACUCUAGAGAUAGAGCUUCCCCUUCGGGGGCAAAGUGACAGGUGGUGCAUGGUUGUCGUCAGCUCGUGUCGUGAGAUGUUGGGUUAAGUCCCGCAACGAGCGCAACCCUUAUUGUUAGUUGCCAUCAUUCAGUUGGGCACUCUAGCAAGACUGCCGGUGACAAACCGGAGGAAGGUGGGGAUGACGUCAAAUCAUCAUGCCCCUUAUGACCUGGGCUACACACGUGCUACAAUGGGAAGUACAACGAGUCGCGAAGUCGCGAGGCUAAGCUAAUCUCUUAAAGCUUCUCUCAGUUCGGAUUGUAGGCUGCAACUCGCCUACAUGAAGCCGGAAUCGCUAGUAAUCGCGGAUCAGCACGCCGCGGUGAAUACGUUCCCGGGCCUUGUACACACCGCCCGUCACACCACGAGAGUUUGUAACACCCGAAGUCGGUGAGGUAACCUU